rnacentral:lncRNA from 1 species
UUUUUAAUAAAGACACCCAAAGGGCAUCUUAAAUCUGAUUAUCAUCGAGGAAAACAAAGGCCAGUACAAAGGAUAGACAACUGGACGUAGAACGACCAGUAAAAAAUAAAAUUACAAUAAAAAGCAUACUAGUCUUCUUCUUCCUCUGAUUGUACGCUGCCCGCCGGUGAUUGAAAAUUGCACUGAACCAACAGCAAAGAAAAGCAAAACCUGCAAAUGCCCUCGCCACACAAGGCUUUGAAGACCGCAAUAGCCACUCGCCCCUUGAGACGAGAUCUAAAAGUCGUUGAAGCAGCAUCGGCUGGAGCAUCACCCCAAGCAGAACAAACUUGCAAUCCACCACCACCAGAUCAGAGGGUUGGAGAAACCGGGUUAAGCCACAGAACAACACAGAAGAUGUCGUGGUCGCCACACCAAACGCCAGCCCAAAGUACUCCUUGAAAGACACACCAACUGCCAAGAUCUGAAGGGAACCAACCGAUCUGGGGACACAAACUCUCACAUGCCCUUCGCCGGCGCCGGAUCGGACGUCGUCGAGGUAGGGAGAGACCGGAGAGACUUUAUUCCAACACGCCAUCGUCGCCACCACCUCGUCGAUGCCACCGGAGAAACAAAAACCUAAGAAAAAUAAAACAAGACGAACGGGUCCCCACUCCUCUUGCCGCCGACGAGGCCGCCGGACGGGAAAGAGGAGGGGGACCGAGGCGGCGGCAGUAGUUGUGGCGGCGGCGGCGGCUUAGGGUUAGGAGGCGGCGGCUGGGGAGAUGAAAAGGUUUGUUUUAAACUGGCUAGGAGAGGAAACAGUUGCCCGUUUUUGGAAGCGUGUGAGUGAAUGGCUUCUUGCUUUUAUGGCGCAGGCAAACGCCUCAACAACACACCAACAGCUUGCUCUUACGGGCGAGGGGUGGCAAAACAGGUGCACAGAUGACAUGUUU